rnacentral:tRNA from 1 species
AUCUAAUUGGCAGAAAAGUGCAUUAAGUUUAAGUCUUAAAUAUAA